rnacentral:rRNA from 1 species
GAUGAACGCUGGCGGCGUGCCUAAUACAUGCAAGUCGAGCGAACGGACUAGAAGCUUGCUUCUCUGAUGUUAGCGGCGGACGGGUGAGUAACACGUGGAUAACCUACCUAUAAGACUGGGAUCACUUCGGGAAACCGUAGCUAAUACCGGAUAAUAUUUUGAACCGCAUGGUUCAAAAAUGAAAGACGGUCUUGCUGUUACUUAUAGAUGGAUCCGCGCUGCAUUAGCUAGUUGGUAAGGUAACGGCUUACCAAGGCAACGAUUCAUAGCCGACCUGAGAGGGUGAUCGGCCACACUGGAACUGAGACACGGUCCAGACUCCUACGGGAGGCAGCAGUAGGGAAUCUUCCGCAAAGGGCGAAAGCCUGACGGAGCAACGCCGCGUGAGUGAUGAAGGUCUUCGGAUCGUAAAACUCUGUUAUUAGGGAAGAACAUAUGUGUAAGUAACUGUGCACAUCUUGACGGUACCUAAUCAGAAAGCCACGGCUAACUACGUG